UAGUAUUACAUAAUUAUUUUAUGCAUGAGAUUACAUAAUUAUGAGAAUUAUGUAAUAAAAACUAUUCUUGACAACUUAUUAUAUAUUUUAUUUUUCAUUUGUUUUUCAAUUUUUCUCUUUCCUUUUUCUUUUCAUUUUCAAAUGUUGUCAAGAUAGUAUUUGAAAUUUCACCUUGUUACUUGAGAUGAAAGUAUGCUCCUUAUUUCUCCCCAUCUUGAAUAAAACUAUAUCUUAAUUGAUUGCUCCUCUAUCGUAAGACAAUGGACACAAUAUCACGAUGGUUCGGGGUUUUAUUUUCAAGAAAAAUCAAAAUCUGGUUGAUUGUUCAGUUUUGUAAUUGUAUUUGGACAUCAGGGAAAUUUCGGUAAGCACAUAAUGUAUGCUUAAAAAAUGUGACAGUGCAUAAGUGAUACAGAUUCUGCAAUUUGGGCUCAAAAGGCUGAUCAAAGACUAGUAUUUGGAUGUGAGUAAAUGGUUUACAUCAAAGACUAGUAUGAAAAGUAAGUUUAUGACAAUGGAAGAAAAGUGGUGUGUGUGUUCCAAUGUGAGUAAAUGUGGUGGUUGUAAGAUUUUGCAAAU
rnacentral:lncRNA from 1 species